AUUGAACGCUGGAGGCAGGCUUAACACAUGCAAGUCGAGCGGGGACUUCGGUCCUAGCGGCGAACGGGUGAGGAAUGCUUGGGAAUCUGCCUGGUAGUGGGGGAUAACGUUUCGAAAGGAACGCUAAUACCGCAUACGUCCUACGGGAGAAAGGGGGGAUCUUCGGACCUCUCGCUAUCAGAUGAGCCCAAGUCGGAUUAGCUAGUUGGUGAGGUAAAGGCUCACCAAGGCGACGAUCCGUAGCUGGUCUGAGAGGAUGAUCAGCCACACUGGAACUGAGACACGGUCCAGACUCCUACGGGAGGCAGCAGUGGGGAAUAUUGGACAAUGGGCGAAAGCCUGAUCCAGCCAUGCCGCGUGUGUGAAGAAGGCCUUCGGGUUGUAAAGCACUUUAAGCGAGGAGGAAUGGCUCUGGGUUAAUACCCUUGAGCAGUGACGUUACUCGCAGAAUAAGCACCGGCUAACUCUGUGCCAGCCGCCGCCGUAAAAC
rnacentral:rRNA from 1 species